CACAAACAGAGUUUCCCAAUGGGAAGCCAGGGAUAUGCCAUUUCCGAGUUUCUUCAGAUGUAAUUUGAGAUGUUAAGGGGAUUGAUGACAACGAAGUUUCAAUAGGCAUCUGAUUUUUAUAUAAUUCUUUCCUUUUAACUUCAUCCAUUAAGUCCCUCUGUAUUCUGUAUAGGCGGUGAAGUUCACACAGCUGCAUCUUAAAUAUGGCCUCAUGCUCCAGCAUUUUCUGCUUUACUACAUCCUUGUCAUAU
rnacentral:misc_RNA from 1 species